rnacentral:rRNA from 1 species
UACGUAGGGUGCAAGCGUUGCCCGGAAUUAUUGGGCGUAAAGGGCUCGUAGGCGGUCUGUCACGUCGGGAGUGAAAACUCAGGGCUUAACCCUGAGCCUGCUUCCGAUACGGGCAGACUAGAGGUAUGCAGGGGAGAACGGAAUUCCUGGUGUAGCGGUGAAAUGCGCAGAUAUCAGGAGGAACACCGGUGGCGAAAGCGGCGUCUCUGGGACGGUACUGACGCUGAGACGCGAAAGCGUGGGGAGCAAACAGG